rnacentral:rRNA from 1 species
UACGGAGGGCGCAAGCGUUGUUCGGAAUCACUGGGCGUAAAGCGCGUGUAGGCGGCUUGGUAAGUCGGGUUUGAAAUCCCGGGGCCCAACCCCGGAACUGCAUUCGAAACUGCCUCGCUGGAGUCCCGGAGAGGAAGGCGGAAUUCCCGGUGUAGAGGUGAAAUUCGUAGAUAUCGGGAGGAACACCAGUGGCGAAGGCGGCCUUCUGGACGGUGACUGACGCUGAGACGCGAAAGCGUGGGGAGCAAACAGG